GACGAACGCUGGCGGCGUGCUUAACACAUGCAAGUCGAACGGAAAGGCCCUGCUUUUGUGGGGUGCUCGAGUGGCGAACGGGUGAGUAACACGUGAGUAACCUGCCCUUGACUUUGGGAUAACUUCAGGAAACUGGGGCUAAUACCGGAUAGGAGCUCCUGCUGCAUGGUGGGGGUUGGAAAGUUUCGGCGGUUGGGGAUGGACUCGCGGCUUAUCAGCUUGUUGGUGGGGUAGUGGCUUACCAAGGCUUUGACGGGUAGCCGGCCUAAGAGGGUGACCGGCCACAUUGGGACUGAGAUACGGCCCAGACUCCUACGGGAGGCAGCAGUGGGGAAUAUUGCACAAUGGGCGGGAGCCUGAUGCAGCAACGCCGCGUGCGGGAUGACGGCCUUCGGGUUGUAAACCGCUUUCGCCUGUGACGAAGCGUGAGUGACGGUAAUGGGUAAAGAAGCACCGGCUAACUACGUG
rnacentral:rRNA from 1 species